rnacentral:rRNA from 1 species
GACGAACGCUGGCGGCGUGCUUAACACAUGCAAGUCGAACGGGCCCGCUCUCUUUUUUGGGGGUGGGUUGAGUGGCGAACGGGUGAGUAUCACGUGAGUAACCUGCCCCCUGCUCCUGGAUAACUGCUUGAAAGGGCGGCUAAUACGGGGUGUGCCGGCUGGUCCGCAUGGGCCUGGUCGGGAUAGUUUCAUCUUCGGGUGUUUCGGUGGGGGAUGGGCUCGCGGCCUAUCAGCUUGUUGGUGGGGUGAUGGCCCACCAAGGCGGUGACGGGGAGCCGGCCUGAGAGGGUGGGCGGCCACACUGGGACUGAGACACGGCCCAGACGCCUGCGGGAGGGAGCAGGGGGGGGUAUGGAACAAUGGGCGGAAGCCGGAUGCAGCGACGUCGCGUGAGGGAUGGAGGCCGUCGGGUGGUGAACCUAUUUCUCCGGGGGGGAAGGCCCUGUCCGUUGCGGCGGGGUUGACGGUAGCCGGGUAUGAAGCGCCGGCUAACUACGUG